rnacentral:rRNA from 1 species
GGUCAAGCGAAUAAGUGCAUAU